rnacentral:rRNA from 1 species
GAUGGUGAAAAGUUUUUUCGGUUGGGGAUGGGCUCGCGGCCUAUCAGUUUGUUGGUGAGGUAAUGGCUCACCAAGACGACGACGGGUAGCCGGCCUGAGAGGGCGACCGGCCACACUGGGACUGAGACACGGCCCAGACUCCUACGGGAGGCAGCAGUGGGGAAUAUUGCACAAUGGGGGAAACCCUGAUGCAGCGACGCAGCGUGCGGGAUGACGGCCUUCGGGUUGUAAACCGCUUUCAGCAGGGAAGAAGCCUUUCGGGGUGACGGUACCUGCAGAAGAAGUACCGGCUAACUACGUGCCAGCAGCCGCGGUAAUACGUAGGGUACAAGCGUUGUCCGGAAUUAUUGGGCGUAAAGAGCUCGUAGGUGGUUGGUCACGUCUGCUGUGGAAACGCAACGCUUAACGUUGCGCGUGCAGUGGGUACGGGCUGACUAGAGUGCAGUAGGGGAGUCUGGAAUUCCUGGUGUAGCGGUGAAAUGCGCAGAUAUCAGGAGGAACACCGGUGGCGAAGGCGGGACUCUGGGCUGUAACUGACACUGAGGAGCGAAAGCAUGGGGAGCGAACAGGAUUAGAUACCCUGGUAGUCCAUGCCGUAAACGUUGGGCACUAGGUGUGGGGGACAUUCCACGUUCUCCGCGCCGUAGCUAACGCAUUAAGUGCCCCGCCUGGGGAGUACGGUCGCAAGGCUAAAACUCAAAGGAAUUGACGGGGGCCCGCACAAGCGGCGGAGCAUGCGGAUUAAUUCGAUGCAACGCGAAGAACCUUACCAAGGCUUGACAUACACCAGACCGUUCUGGAAACAGUUCCUCCCCUUUGGGGUUGGUGUACAGGUGGUGCAUGGUUGUCGUCAGCUCGUGUCGUGAGAUGUUGGGUUAAGUCCCGCAACGAGCGCAACCCUCGUUCUAUGUUGCCAGCACGUGAUGGUGGGAACUCAUAGGAGACUGCCGGGGUCAACUCGGAGGAAGGUGGGGAUGACGUCAAAUCAUCAUGCCCUUUAUGUCUUGGGCUUCACGCAUGCUACAAUGGCUGGUACAGAGAGAUGCGAGACCGCGAGGUUUUAGCGAAUCCCUUAAAGCCAGUCUCAGUUCGGAUCGUAGUCUGCAAUUCGACUACGUGAAGUCGGAGUCGCUAGUAAUCGCAGAUCAGCAACG